UGGAUCUGCACAGAGAUGGUGUUGGAAUUGAAAAGCAGGUUUUGUAUUCGUGUCUCCUGUGUACCCUACCUCAGCGCAUGGCAGCCAUGCGGGAUGUCUUUCUGGUGUCCUACCUGCAGAGGUGGGCAGGACCCCUUGCCAUCCUGACUUCUCCCUCAGUCCCAGCUGAGGAAACAUAGAAACAUGUACAGCAUAUGCUCGUUGACUGCCUUGCAGAGUGCUUCUUCUGGAAUUAUGGAAAAGGCACAGAAGGAAAAUAGUGCAUCUAACAAAGCGCUCGUGUGAUGCAGCUGUAUCCGUUCUCAAUCUUCCAUUAAUGCCUCAUCGUAAGAGUACUGUACUUUCCGUUUGUUUCAUUUACCAAAGGUCAGCAUACUCGGAAGCUAUUGUCAUAGAGCAUUACAGACUUUCUACAUAUUUCUCUGGUAUUGUUCCAAGCAUUCGUAUGCGCGGAUGAGUCAAUUGGUAUGCAGAUUGUCUAUCAUUAAAACCAUUUCAAAAUCAGCUUUGUCAUUGGUUUAGCGCUGGAACUUGCGUGUCCUUCCCGAAUGCAAUGCGUUGCUCUGCAAGGGCACGGUGAGGCCAAACUCGUGCUGGACCAGUCCUGUUUUUCAUUCAGGCAGAACUUCCACUGACUUCAAGGUAAAUCUUGCCCAAGUCUGGUCUGCAAGCUGAAGACUGCUGCUUUUACCGUGUUCUCUUUGUGAGCUGCCAGGUCUGCGUAGGCUACACGUGGCCACAUCAGAGACUGUGCUUUUCCCUCCUCUCCUCCCCUCCUCACAGGUUUGUUUUGGCUGCUCCGGUGUCAGAACACGCGAUUUUCAAAAGCUAUCGAAAGCCUUUCCUCGCCGCCUCUGAAGAGCUGCCAGCCCCCUGAGCUGCUGCUGGUUUUCCACCAGGUGGCACAUCUUCCACAGCUAUCGGUCCGUGAUGCGCUGUCUUUCUGCGGGCGUUGCUGACGCCAUACGAUCAGUCACACGCACCCAGGGCAAAAGGCGCGGCUUUGUGUGUUUU
rnacentral:lncRNA from 1 species